rnacentral:misc_RNA from 1 species
GAGUUUGUGCUGCAGUGCGCAUCGUGGCUGCCCCCGCCCCCACCCAGCAUAGCCCUCUGAAGUAGUAAGCCACCAUCGUGCUGCUACUAAGGAGGGUGUGAAGCACUGGAGAUAUGCAGGAAAAAAAAGAAAACGAACCACUUCCCCGUGUCUUCUUUUCACCUCGUGCAUUGGCACACCUCACGCAUCGUCCACCUCCACUUUUUCAUCAAUGCAAGCAUCCUUCUCCUCCUCCCUCACACCUGGGGCCGCGCCGCAGCCAGAGAGCGCUUCAAGCUCUACAAUUACGGGGCAGCGCGUCACACUCAGUGCUAAGCAAGCUGCUGUCAGCAGCGCAGUCGAUCCGAAUGCGGCUGAGGUUGUUCGCGUUUCCUUGUUCCCUGGGCGGGUCGUGAUGCUGCGCUGUGCCGGUGACACAUCGCCCGGUUGGAACGACGUGGUGGCGCAGGACAACCAUUGGCGUCAGCCGUGAUCUCGUCAGCGUUCCGCGUCGGUGUUCGAAGAACGGUCUCAACAGAAUCAGAAACCGUACCGCGUUGCGGUCGUGCAACGAUUCGAUUGUGCACUUGGUUGAAAUCCAGCGUCUGUGUGUAUGCCCGCAGUGUUUUCGAUGUUGUUUGUCUCUUCAUGAUCUUUGUUGACACUGCUUUAUUGGACGCUACGGUAAGUCGAGCAAGAAUAUGUGUAGAUGCAUAUGCAAAGGAUGGUACAUUUACGAGGGUGGCGUCGAAGAGAGAGCCAGGCAUAUGUGUCUCGCACGUAUCCUGUGUUCGCCACUCGCUUCCCCUCGCCCCUCCCACCCGUCUAACUCAUCCCUCUGGUGAUGUGCGCCUUGCUUCGCUUGCGGGCGCAUAUGUUGCCUUUUUUUUCUCUCCCUACGCUAACUUCCACACACACGCAUACACGUGCACACGGUCUCUCCCCUCCCUCGCCAUCAUUACCAUCUCGAACACGCACACACGCGCCUGUGUGACAACCAUUACCACCUUGCCCGUGUACGGCGUUGCCACAAAG